UACGAAGGGUGCAAGCGUUACUCGGAAUUACUGGGCGUAAAGCGUGCGUAGGUGGUGAGUUAAGUCUGUCGUGAAAGCCCCGGGCUCAACCUGGGAAUGGCGAUGGAUACUGGCUCGCUAGAGUGCGGUAGAGGAGAGUGGAAUUCCCGGCGUAGCAGUGAAAUGCGUAGAGAUCGGGAGGAACAUCAGUUGCGAAGGCGGCUCUCUGGACCAGCACUGACACUGAGGCACGAAAGCGUGGGGAGCAAACAGG
rnacentral:rRNA from 1 species